AUAUAGUUUACAUAACUAGCAAGCGGGCAACUGUAGUAAUUUUUGUUGGUAAGCUUUCUUUGAAAAAUUGCGGCCACUAAUUUACUGUUAUCUCCGCAUCUUUCGCUUCUCAAUACGAUUCUUGGUCAAAAACUUUUCGCGUUGCUAGUCCUUCAUAGAUACGUAAAAUACUAAAUUGUUUUUCAGUGCGAUAACAUAUUGAAAAUCCGAUUAUUAAACAUAUUUUUAGGCAUCAUCGUAUCUUCAAGUUCAUCGCAGUGUGUCAUCCCAUUUGCCGAUGGUGAUUUAACCAUCGUAAUAUUAUGAUGUACAAUAAAUUACAAUGUGUCCUGAAAAGAAAUAACUGGCCGGCAUUAUGUGAAAAUAUACCAACAAAUAUCUUGAAAAAUCCUUAAAAGAAAUCUUGGAAAAUAGGGAGGUUUUUGUUUUAUUUGAAAUUAUAUUAUUAUUUGUAAAAUAAUUACUGCAGGGCCUCAUUGAGAUAACUGAUAUGGAAAUCAAAUAGAAUAUAUUUAAUACAACUAAAUAUAUUUAAUGACAUAGUCUAUGUUCAGGGAGAAGACCUUUAGGAUUUCCGGAAUUUAAAAUGGCUACAACCACUACAAAUCCAAAUCUCGAUAAGUAGAUUUUUAAAUGUUAAAUUAUAUUUGAUAAAAUACGUAAAAUACGAUUCCGGUAAAUGAAGCUGCGACAGUGGUGUAGCUAAAUUGCCUAUCUAAAUCACCGUGUCACUUUAAAUAUGAUAUCAGAAAGAUAGACUCACAUACCCAAUCAUGGCCACAACGAAAAAGAAGAUCAUGUUGAAAUCGUGAAUUGACAUAAAAAUUGGUUGUUAUUAUAUAGUUACGAGUUUUAUUACAUAAGAAAAACAGGCGCGGAUCCUGAGGGUGGGCUGGGUGGGCCUGGGCCCACCCAAAAUUUCCAGAAACAAUAAUUUUAAUUUUGAGUAUUGGCAUUUAUUAUUUUAGAAUUUUUAUUAUAAG